GCCCAGACUCCUACGGGAGGCAGCAGUGGGUCCUCUUGGACAAUUUUGGUCACCCUGACCCCGCGACGCCGCGCGCGUGAAGAAGUCUUUCGGUAUGUAACUCUCUAUCAGCAGGGACGAAAGAAAUGCCGGUACCUGACUAAGCAGCCCCGGCUAACUACGUGCCAGCAGCCGCGGUAAUACGUAGGGGGCAAGCGUUAUCCGGAUUUACUGGGGGUAAAGGGAGCGUAGACGGCGAUGCAAGUCUGAAGUGAAAGGCGGGGGCCCAACCCCCGGACUGCUGUGGAAACUGUAUGGCUGGAGGGCAGGAGAGGUAAGGGGAAUUCCUAGGGGAGCGGUGAAAGGCGGAGAUAUUAGGAGGAACACCAGUGGCGAAGGCGGCUUACGGGACGGUAACUGACGUUGAGGCUCGAAAGCGUGGGGAGCAAACAGGAUUAGAUACCCGUGUA
rnacentral:rRNA from 1 species